UCCCUUCCUUCCGCCUCACACGUGCUAAGCACAUACUGUUGAGCCACACCCUCAGCCCUAUAUUUGUAGGUUUUCUAAGGAACCACUUUUGCAUUCCUGAGAUAAGCCCAACUUGGUCAUGUUUUGUCUUUUUUAUGUAUUACCAGAUUCUGUUUGUUAAGUAUUUGUUUGGGGGUUUUGCAUCUCGUACAUAAGGUUGAGCUGGAAUUUUCCUUUAUAUUGUCCUUGAACAAUUUUGGUAUCAAGGUUAAUGCUAAAGUCAUAUCUUGAGCUGGGGAAAAUCCUUCUUUACUGUAGUAAAAUUGUGAAGAGUUGGGGUUAUCUUGUUAUUUGCUGUUUGAUGGAAUUUGCCUCUAAAAGUCUGCCUGGUUUGGUGUUUUCUAUGAUGAGACUUUUUUUUAAUUGAGCUGAAAUUCAUAUAACAUAAAAUGAGCUGUUUCAAAGCACGUGAUUCAGUGCCUAAGUCAAUUCACAGUGAUGAGCAGCCAACACCCCCACCCAGCUCUGCAACAUCUUCAUCACGCCCAAGGAGACCAUCUGCCCAUCUGUAGUCACCCUCACUCUCUCCCCAGCCAUGGGGACCUCUUACUCUGUAUUCUCUCUCUCUGGAUGUAGUGAUUCCGUAUAUUUCAUAUAAGUGGAAUCCUCCAACCUGGCCUUUUAUGUCUGGCUUCUUUCACUUUAUCACAUUUCAGGAUUCAUCAACAGGCCAGGCACAGUGUAAUCCCAGCAGCUUGGGAGCCUGAGGCAGGUAGAUCCCAAGUUCAAAGCCGGCCUCAACAACUUAGCAAGAGCCUGUCUCAAAAUAUAAAAAGGGUGGGGGAGGUGGGGUUGUGGCUCCGUGGUAGAGCACUUGCCUAUCUUGUGUGAGACACUAGGUUCGAUUCUCAGCACCACAUAUAAAUAAAUAAAGGUCCAUCAACAACUAGUAAAAUAUUUUUAAAAAUGAGGGGGCUGGGGAUGUGGCUCAGUGCUUAAGCACUUCUGAAUUUAGUCCCUGGUAUCCCACUCCCCCACCAAAAAAGAUUUCUCAGUGUAGCACGUUCAGAAUUCCAUUCCUUUUUAAGGCUGAAUGUUCACUGUAUGUAUGUACGACAUUUUCUUCAUCCAUUUUUCCAUUGAUGGACAUUUGGGUUGUUUCCCCUGCUGGUUCUCAUGAAUGCUGCCACUACAAAUAUUCCUAAGCAGUCAUUUGGGUGCCUGCUCUUGAUUAUUUUCUGUAUCUGCCUCAGAGUAGAAUUGCUGGAUCACGUGGUAACUCUGCUUGACUUGAUGAGGUCCCACCAAAUUCUCUCCAGUUUUCUUGUGGAUACUGGUUUCUAACUUGACUGCACUGUGGCAGAGCCGGGUCUGUGUGAUACCAGAACUUCAGAACUGAUUGAACCUUAGCAGUUGGUCAGUUUUUGCAAAUGUUCCAUGUGGGACUAGGAAGAAUGGUUUUCUCACUCCUACCAGAAUGGCUAAGAUGAAGAAGGCAAAUAAAACCAAGCACCAAGGAAAGGAGCAACUGGACCCUCAGACAUGGCUGAUGGGAGGACAAAUCUCCACUUUGGAAAACUUUUGGGCAUUAUCUGCAAAAACUAAACACAAGCAAAACAAACCCAAUAGGAAUAUGUACCCAUGGUCACCAAGAGACUACAUGUACUAGCCAUGGAGAGGAAAAGUCUAACAGAGGAGUGGAUGAAAAUUUGACAUUUGUUCACAUAAUAGAAUGAGGAAGAAAAGGAUUUCUACAUGUAGAAAUCUUGAAAACAAAACACUGAAUUAAAGAAACCAGAUACAAAAGAAUGAUGCUCUAGGGAUCCGUUUCUGUAAAGUUUAAAAACAAGCAAAAUUAACCUACCUACAGCAUUAGAAGGCAAGAUAGCAGUGGCCUUCAGCAUGAAGGUUGAUAGAGUGGAGUUCAAGGAAGGGGAUCUGGGGAACCGCAAGGCUCCUUCCCCCAUUUCUGGGUUGCAGUAUGCUGGUUUUGUGAAAAUUAAUUGUUAUUUGUUUUAUAUUUGUGUGUUACAGUUCAAUAAAAAGUUCUUAAACAAGA